AUUGAACGCUGGCGGCAUGCCUUACACAUGCCAGUCGAACGGCAGCACGGGUGCUUGCACCUGGUGGCGAGUGGCGAACGGGUGAGUAAUACAUCGGAACAUGUCCUGUAGUGGGGGAUAGCCCGGCGAAAGCCGGAUUAAUACCGCAUACGAUCUACGGAUGAAAGCGGGGGACCUUCGGGCCUCGCGCUAUAGGGUUGGCCGAUGGCUGAUUAGCUAGUUGGUGGGGUAAAGGCCUACCAAGGCGACGAUCAGUAGCUGGUCUGAGAGGACGACCAGCCACACUGGGACUGAGACACGGCCCAGACUCCUGCGGGAGGCAGCAGUGGGGAAUUUUGGACAAUGGGCGAAAGCCUGAUCCAGCAAUGCCGCGUGUGUGAAGAAGGCCUUCGGGUUGUAAAGCACUUUUGUCCGGAAAGAAAUCCUUGGCCCUAAUACGGUCGGGGGAUGACGGUACCGGAAGAAUAAGCACCGGCUAACUACGUG
rnacentral:rRNA from 1 species